AGUGAACGCUGGCGGUAGGCCUAACACAUGCAAGUCGAACGGCAGCACAGUAAGCGCUUGCUCUUACGGGUGGCGAGUGGCGGGCGGGUGAGGCAUACAUAGGCAUCUACUUUUUCGUGGGGGACUUCGUAGGGACACUUACGCUAAUACCGCAUACGUUCUACGGCUGAAAUCAAAAGAUCAUCGGACUCUUGCUGACACAAUGAGACGGUGUCGGAUUAGCUAGUUGGCGGGGUAAAGGCACACCAAGGCGACGAUCCGUAGCUGGUCUGAGAGGAUGAUCAGCCACACUGGAACUGAGACACGGUCCAGACUCCUACGGGAGGCAGCAGUGGGGAAUAUUGGACAAUGGGCGCAAGCCUGAUCCAGCAAUACCGCGUGAGUGAAGAAGGCCUUCGGGUUGUAAAGCCCUGUUGUUAGGAAAGAAAAGCAGUGGGUGAAUACCCCGCUAUUCUGACGGUACCCAAAGAGUAAGCACCGGCUAACUUCGUG
rnacentral:rRNA from 1 species